AGCAGCCGCGGUAAUUCCAGCUCCAAUAGCGUAUAUUAAAGUUGUUGCAGUUAAAAAGCUCGUAGUUGAAUUUCGGGAUCAAUAUAUCGGUCGUGCCAUUGGUACGUACUGGUAUCAUUGGUUUCUCCUUUCUGACGAACCAUGAUGUCAUUAAUUUGGUGUUAUGGGAAGUUAGGACUGUUACUUUGAAAAAUUAGAGUGUUUAAAGCAGGCUUUAGCUUGAAUACAUUAGCAUGGAAUAAUGAAAUAGAACGUUCGAACCUAUUUUGUUGGUUUCUAGGAUCAACGUAAUGAUUAAUAGGGAUAGUUGGGGGCAUUAGUAUUCAAUUGUCAGAGGUGAAAUUCUUGGAUUUAUUGAAGACUAACUACUGCGAAAGCAUUUGCCAAGGAUG
rnacentral:rRNA from 1 species